GGAUGCGAUAGAGGCGCGGUAAACAUCAGUACCUGUACACGACAUAAGUCAGGAGCGUAUGCAUACGUUCCACGGCCGGCAGGCCGGGCGUACGGGAAAAGGGUUUUCCGCCGAAACAGGUUCCGUCUGCCGGCGGGAUGUGUUGGGAUACAGUCUAACAGGCUGUGUACUCUCACUUAAUCAAAGUGGUGGCGCUAUUGGUUGG
rnacentral:ncRNA from 2 species